rnacentral:rRNA from 1 species
UGGGGAAUUUUGGACAAUGGGCGAAAGCCUGAUCCAGCAAUGCCGCGUGUGUGAAGAAGGCCUUCGGGUUGUAAAGCACUUUUGUCCGGAAAGAAAUCCUUGGCUCUAAUACAGUCGGGGGAUGACGGUACCGGAAGAAUAAGCACCGGCUAACUACGUGCCAGCAGCCGCGGUAAUACGUAGGGUGCAAGCGUUAAUCGGAAUUACUGGGCGUAAAGCGUGCGCAGGCGGUUUGCUAAGACCGAUGUGAAAUCCCCGGGCUCAACCUGGGAACUGCAUUGGUGACUGGCAGGCUAGAGUAUGGCAGAGGGGGGUAGAAUUCCACGUGUAGCAGUGAAAUGCGUAGAGAUGUGGAGGAAUACCGAUGGCGAAGGCAGCCCCCUGGGCCAAUACUGACGCUCAUGCACGAAAGCGUGGGGGAGCAAAACAGGAUUAGAUACCCUGGUAGUCCACGCCCUAAAACGAUGUCAACUAGUUGUUGGGGAUUCAUUUCCUUAGUAACGUAGCUAACGCGUGAAGUUGACCGCCUGGGGAGUACGGUCGCAAAGAUUAAAACUCAAAUGAAUUGACGGGGUCAUAGCUGUUUCCU